rnacentral:tRNA from 1 species
GGGCUUGUAGCUCAGCUGGCUAGAGCGUCUGAAUGGCAUUCAGAAGGUCAGGGGUUCAAAUCCCCUCAGGUCCA